AUCUACAAGAUAGGACAUGACACACACACACACACACACACACACACACACACACACACACACACACACACACACACACACACACACACACACACACACACACACACACACACACACACACUAACAAACCACACACACACUGAGAGUAUCUCGUUAGGUUUCACUUUCCUGAAAUCUACAAGAUGACAUCACACGCACCCCCGUCCCACACACACGAUGACUUUCGUUUUUCCAGACAUUUCCGAGGUAUCACAUUUUCAACUCCAUAACAUUAUAACGUGGUCAUGCAGCCGAACACUUAAAGCCUAUUGUACUGAUUUGUAUUUAUCCAGUAGCAGUUUCCAUAUGGUAGGUUUGAUUUGAGUCGCGUCGUUCAGGUUACUUCAUGCUUAAAGUCACUUGUGCGACACGACUAAAAUCGGAAGAAAAAAAAAUCUGCGAUUCGGAGAUUGACCUAGUGCCCAUAUCAAUCCAUUUUAAUUCAAAGUAAGUAGUCUUCUCAUCUAUGCUGCAGUUAGGCCUAAUUGUUGUUCUUUUUUAAGCUUCAACAAGGUUACCCGGCCAGGGGAAAGACGCAAUCGCAAUUAAUGCCGCUUAUUUUGAAGUAAAAAAAUUACUUAGAUCAUCAACAGUGGUGUAGCCUACAUACAUUUCGACGAGGCCUGUUAAUUUGAAAAAAAUCAUCGAUUUAGGCCUAUUGUUAUUCAUGUCAUGCGAAAGGAGAUGCACAAACGUGAAGCCCCAAGUUCACACCAGGCACGGCGUUAUGGGUGGACUGGACCCGACGGAACUAGGACCAUCCACUGUUCAACAGGCCCACCCAAAACUUUUCUUGUAAAAAAAGAUAUAAAUAUUCUGAAAUGCUUUAUUUUUUUGCAAUGCGGCAAUCUAUUUGAUAUUGAUGCUUGAUCCGAUUUGCGUUAAAGGGCUGUUCGUGGAUGACCGUGAAAACGCAGAAGGCUAUUAGUUUUUAUAUCGUAGUAGCCUAGGCUACAAUUGAAUGCAUCUUCUUUGUAUAAUAAGCCAAGCACUGUUGCUAAUGAUAUCGAAAUAUUGUUGAAAACUUAAAACAAUUAAACAGAAUUCUGAAAUAGUCGGCCUCAUGUUAUACGAUCAUAACUAAACUAUAUAAGAAAUAUUCGAUUCCUGACCACAUUCACAGUCUAUAGGCCUUGGAUCUAUAGACUGAUGUGCGCUAAAGCACAGACAGGUAUGGUGCGUAAUGGAGAUUCCAAGGCGCUCUUCUGUGGUCAGUACCAAGAGACGUCUUUACACUCCCGGACCCUACACACUGGCGGUUUCCUUUUCAUGUAAAUGCUAUGAGACGCCCCGCGGUACAAGACUAUGUGCGGGGUGCGGGGAUGGCGUUGCUGCAUUAUCUCUACAACAUAGAUAAUAACGCAGCGAUAUCAACAUGAGAAGUUCUAACUGGAGAGACGGUGAAAUCGAGUAAUCCGCGAGCUGCUGACCAACAUGGGAGAAGGUGACGCAGUCGCAUUUAACAAAGACGUUUGUUAUGGAGCGAUCUACGAGAAAGACGCAGAGGAACGUUCCUUCGUGCCAAGCCGUGACCGAACCGGCUAGGCAGUGUAAAAAGGCUUAAGGAGCGAUCGCGGAAUUACGUCCUAUGCACCGAAACUUUUUACAAUGCAAUAAAAAGAGCAUCAAGACAUCCACAGAUAGUAUAACAUUAUAUUAGUCAGUCAUUUGUAUUAGGUUAAACAAGGAUUUGAUAACGUUUUUAAUUUAAGGACCACCCACUAUUGGUCUGGCCCCUCCACAACUGGAAUCCUGGUGCCUUGCCUGGUUUACACACUUCUUCAGAGCAAACCCGACCGACUGGAAAACAACACACCUCUCACUCAAAUACACACACGACACAACUAUGGUAAAUACAGACUUUUAGCAGUCCUCUCAGUGCUCAUCUCUCUCUCUCAUUAAAGAACAUCGGUUAGGCCUACAUAAAAUAACACAUUGAACAACAACGUUGCAUUAAGCUCACGACCAUUUAUUUACUUAACAUUUACAUUCACUGACUGAAGAAUACGAAAAUACAAUGCCCGUUUAUCGCAAGAAAGGUCAUCAAAGUGCUAUAUUUUAAAAUAUCUUAAAAAGCUUACCCCGACAUACGUGGCGUUCUGGUGUUUCCUGGACCAGGCGACAGAGGGCGCUGUUGGUCAUUUUGGACGACCUACACCAGUCGGAUACCUCUUCAACAUGCAAUGCCAGUUUGGCUAUUUCUCGUUAAUAAGAGUGCCAUAAGCAACAAUAUAUUAAAUAUUAAGCUGAAUUAUGACACAGCGACCAAAAACAUUUCCAGAAGGCCCGUGAAUUGUAUUAUUUCCAUAUGGUCCACAAUCAUGCAUCAACUCUUUUCUUUUUUUUUGUUAUAUUUGCAAUUACAAAUUAUAAUUACAUAUAUCCCAUCUUAAAACACUGCUUUCAGAAACUCAUUCAAAAACAUACUUCCACUGUGAGAAAUGUAAAAAAAACAGACAUUAUUUGAUAAUGUUGGAAACAUCCACUUUAAUAUCUUUAAGACAUGUACAGCUUUGCAAAACACAUGUGAAGGCCAUGCAUACAGGCCACAUGCAACAAUAUUUUAUGUAUCUCCUUCUCUAUAACUUACCACAUAGGUUUGAUCCCAUUUCAGAACACUGCUUUCAGUAAUAAAUGUAAAAGAAUAAAGCGCAGAAAAAUCUGAAGUAAUGAUUAUGCUGCUAAAUUAA